rnacentral:rRNA from 1 species
AUAAGGUUAAGUUAAUAAGGGCGCACGGUGGAUGCCUUGGCACUAGAAGCCGAUGAAGGACGUGACUAACGACGAAAUGCUUUGGGGAGUUGUAAGUAAACAUUGAUCCAGAGAUGUCCGAAUGGGGGAACCCGGCAUGUAAUGCAUGUCACUCAUUACUGUUAAGGUAAUGAAGAGGAAGACGCAGUGAACUGAAACAUCUAAGUAGCUGCAGGAAGAGAAAGCAAACGCGAUUGCCUUAGUAGCGGCGAGCGAAAUGGCAAGAGGGCAAACCGAUGUGUUUACACAUCGGGGUUGUAGGACUGCGACGUGGGACGACAAGAUUAUAGAAGAAUUACCUGGGAAGGUAAGCCAAAGAGAGUAACAGCCUCGUAUUCGAAAUAGUCUUUAACCCUAGCAGUAUCCUGAGUACGGCGAGACACGAGAAAUCUCGUCGGAAUCUGGGAGGACCAUCUCCUAACCCUAAAUACUCUCUAGUGAC